AGUGAACGCUGGCGGUAGGCCUAACACAUGCAAGUCGAACGGCAGCACAGUAAGAGCUUGCUCUUACGGGUGGCGAGUGGCGGACGGGUGAGGAAUACAUCGGAAUCUACUUUUUCGUGGGGGAUAACGUAGGGAAACUACGCUAAUACCGCAUACGACCUACGGGUGAAAGCAGGGGAUCUUCGGACCUUGCGCGGUUGAAUGAGCCGAUGUCGGAUUAGAUAGUUGGCGGGGUAAAGGCCCACCAAGGCGACGAUCCGUAGCUGGUCUGAGAGGAUGAUCAGCCACACUGGAACUGAGACACGGUCCAGACUCCUACGGGAGGCAGCAGUGGGGAAUAUUGGACAAUGGGCGCAAGCCUGAUCCAGCCAUACCGCGUGGGUGAAGAAGGCCUUCGGGUUGUAAAGCCCUUUUGUUGGGAAAGAAAAGCAGCAGGUUAAUACCCCGCUGUUCUGACGGUACCCAAAGAAUAAGCACCGGCUAACUUCGUG
rnacentral:rRNA from 1 species